rnacentral:rRNA from 1 species
GAUGAACGCUGGCGGCGUGCCUAAUACAUGCAAGUCGAGCGAAUAGAUGAGGAGCUGGCUCCUCUGACGUUAGCGGCGACAGGGUGAGUAACGCGUGGACAACCUACCUACUAGAGGGGGCUAACUUUGGGAAAGCGGAGCUAUAAACGGAUCAUAUAUUCAAUAGCAAGGGUGAUACGUGACUGGUGGAUGUUGUACUACUUACAGAUGGACCCGCGCCGCAUUAGCUAGUUGGUAAGGUAACGGCUUACCAAGGCAACGAUGCGUAGCCGACCUGAGAGGGUGACCGGCCACACUGGAACUGAGACACGGUCCAGACUCCUACGGGAGGCAGCAGUAGGGAAUCUUCCGCAAUGGGGGAAAGCCUGACGGAGCAACGCCGCGUGAGGGAUGAAGGUCUUCGGAUCGUAAAACUCUGUUAUUGGGGAAGAACGAAUGUGAAAGUGACUGAUCACGUCGUGACGGUACCUUAUCAGAAAGCCACGGCUAACUACGUG